rnacentral:rRNA from 1 species
CGUGUAGGCGGGAAGGUAAGUCAGAUGUGAAAUUCCGGGGCUCAAUUCCGGCGCUGUAUCUGAAACUAUCUUUCUUGAGUGCUGGAGAGGAAAGCGGAAUUCCUAGUGUAGCGGUGAAAUGCGUAGAUAUUAGGAGGAACACCAGUGGCGAAGGCGGCUUUCUGGACAGUAACUGACGCUGAGGCGCGAAAGCGUGGGGAGCAAACA